AGCCCCAGAAGGAACUAAGCUGUAGCCAGGCAAGAAGCAAAGCAAAUUUUGGAACAAGUAGGGGCUCAUACUUUCUCCAACCUGCAAGGAGUCAAUCGUUGUCCAGUGAGCUAUGAUAAGCACCAUGACAGUUAAUCAGACAGUGAGCCAUUUAUUGGUUUUUAUGUAGCUCUUUCACAUUGCAGGCUUUCUACUGGGGAAAGAGGAAAAGGAAGAUAGGGUAGAGUACAAAGAACUGCAAAGCCUAGAUUCUUUGUGGACCACUCUUCUGGUGCCAUUAGAUGGGAAUACCUUGCGGGAACCCCAAAAGAUCCAUUGCUGCUCUCUGAGGAGGAGUUAGAGUCAAACAGACUCUUAAACCCUUUGCACAUUUGGUUUCUCUUGAGAAUGUGAGGCAUAGCUCUUCCAUUGUAGGCUUUCUGGUGUUAAAUUUCCUCCCCGAGGUUAGAGACCAGCUUUGGAACCAGAACUUGACCACUGAUCAUGUGAUGUAGUCAGAUUUGAGGUUGGAAUCUCAGAGGGAAGUCAGUGACAGCCACUUUCCG
rnacentral:lncRNA from 1 species